AGCCGUUUAGGAGCUAGCCGUCGAAGGUGGGACAAAUGAUUGGGGUGAAGUCGUAACAAGGUAGCCGUAUCGGAAGGUGCGGCUGGAUCACCUCCUUU
rnacentral:rRNA from 1 species